GUGGGGAAUUUUGGACAAUGGGCGCAAGCCUGAUCCAGCAAUGCCGCGUGCAGGAAGAAGGCCCUCGGGUUGUAAACUGCUUUUGUACGGAACGAAAAGCCUGGGGCUAAUAUCCCCGGGUCAUGACGGUACCGUAAGAAUAAGCACCGGCUAACUACGUGCCAGCAGCCGCGGUAAUACGUAGGGUGCAAGCGUUAAUCGGAAUUACUGGGCGUAAAGCGUGCGCAGGCGGUUUUGUAAGACAGGCGUGAAAUCCCCGGGCUCAACCUGGGAAUUGCGCUUGUGACUGCAAGGCUGGAGUGCGGCAGAGGGGGAUGGAAUUCCGCGUGUAGCAGUGAAAUGCGUAGAUAUGCGGAGGAACACCGAUGGCGAAGGCAAUCCCCUGGGCCUGCACUGACGCUCAUGCACGAAAGCGUGGGGAGCAAACAGGAUUAGAUACCCUAGUAGUCC
rnacentral:rRNA from 1 species